rnacentral:lncRNA from 1 species
AUAGGAUCCCCAAGGGCAAACGAUCCAAUGUUGUGUAUAAAAUACCUUGCAAUGAUUGCAACCAAGUUUAUAUCGGACAAACUGGCCGCCAUCUAAACACCAGAAUCAAAGAACAUCAACGCAAUGUACAUGAGAUUGAAGAACGUCACACUGCUCUAACGAAACAUAUGACCAAUAAACAACAUACUUUUAGCUACGACAAUACAAACAUCCUCUGCGAAGAACCCAAUUAUUAUAAAAGGCUGUUACUAGAAAUGUGCAAUAUUGUAGGACACACUAAUUCCGUUAAUCUUAGACAAGACGUUGAACAUUUAAGUAAUAUUUACAAACCGCUAAUCUCCGCCCACACACCACAUAUUGUUUAACCUUAACUAGACACAUAAAAUUAGUGUCCCCAUAGCACAGUUUUUUUACAUAAUUUUUUUUGAUUUUUUUUUCUGCUUUUUCGUAUGUAUGUUUAUAUUUGGUUCACCUUCACACUGGAUCAUAAUUGUUUCUCCCGUCAGUCGUUAUUCACCAGUUGAACCAAUCGGUUCAACCAAGAAAAUAAAUUUUUGUUAGACAUGGAGAACAUAGUCAUAAAGAUCCCAGCUCCACUUUCUCGGACAUUGUGCAAACUAAUUUUACUGCUAAAAAAAACUUCUUUAAAACCUUUUAAUACAGUGACAUAUAGACUGUGAAGAUACAUAGUUUUUUAAUCUUUUUAAUUAAUGACCUCCAACUUGUAACUCCUACACGUUAAACAACCAGAGGAGCCGACAUUGACUACCGUUAUUCAAAGAACAGUGUCUCCACAAAUUGUAAAUUAUGAAUUCGACUGUAUCUUAGUCCGCUUACUAUAAAAAGUUGAAUAAAUAAAUCGUUCUGAGGAGGGCCCAUAUCCGGGCCGAAACGUUAACAAAAAAUACGUUUACAUAAUUGACCGAUCACCAAGAUUCAAUAAUAGAUUAUAUACGAGGUCGAGAAUUCCUACUCUUAAGCUUGAUUUUAUCACAUUAGAACAGUUCUUAGAUAAUACUGAUGUAAAAUUAUCAGUAAGUUCGAUGAUGUGUAUUUGCAAAGGAAAAAGGGACUCAUGCGAAGUAAAAGAAGUUCAAGAUUUUCAUAUUUAUUCAGAUUCUUUCGAUUAGUCAAUAAUUGUAAUUCUAAUACACCGACAAUAAACUUUAUAUACUUAUUUCAAUAUCGCUAGACGCUUGAAAUGUGAGCUAUUCAAAUAUAUGUCCACAGCUGGCAAUGAGAGAAGGGCGAUUACUUUUAUUAUAAUAAUAAUAAUAAUAAUAAUAAUAAUAAUAAUAAUAAUAAUUUUAACAAAAUGAAACUGACAUUUUACAAUACAAUAACGUAUUGUAAUAUAAUAACGUAUGCGUGGAUAUUGUGUAAUACGUAAUAUAAUGGGUUGCAUUGAAUUCGGUUUUCCGAACGUUUCAUAAUUGAAAAUUUGACUGUAUUUUAUAAUUAGACGAUGCAAAAAGCUCUCGUUUGGAUCCCAUGUCUUUUUUUUUGUCUACUGUUUUUUAUACUCCGUUGGCAAUGCUAUCACACAGUUAUAAGUUAAAUUUAGGUUAAUAUUGAAAU